GACGAACGCUGGCGGCGUGCUUAACACAUGCAAGUCGAGCGGUAAGGCCCUUUCGGGGGUACACGAGCGGCGAACGGGUGAGUAACACGUGGGUGACCUGCCUUUAGCUCUGGGAUAAGCCUGGGAAACCGGGUCUAAUACCGGAUAUGACUCCGCGGCGCAUGUUGUGGGGUGGAAAGCCUUGUGCGGCUGGAGAUGGGCCCGCGGCCUAUCAGCUUGUUGGUGGGGUGAUGGCCUACCAAGGCGACGACGGGUAGCCGGCCUGAGAGGGCGACCGGCCACACUGGGACUGAGACACGGCCCAGACUCCUACGGGAGGCAGCAGUGGGGAAUCUUGCGCAAUGGGCGAAAGCCUGACGCAGCGACGCCGCGUGAGGGAUGACGGCCUCGGUU
rnacentral:rRNA from 1 species